GACGAACGCUGGCGGCGUGCUAACACAUUCAAAUUGGACGACGCCCCUCCUUCGGGGGGAUGAAGGAGGGGCGAACGGGUGGGGAAAACCGGGGCAACCUGCCCCCUGCCCUGGGAAAACACCGGGAAAACGGUGCCAAUACCGGAUAAGACAUCGAGCGGCCUCCCCCCGUGGGGGAAGUUUUUUCGGCUAGGGAUGGGCCCGCGGCCUAUCAGCUUGUUGGUGGGGUAAUGGCCCACCAAGGCGACGACGGGUAGCCGGCCUGAGAGGGCGACCGGCCACACUGGGACUGAGACACGGCCCAGACUCCUACGGGAGACAGCAGUGGGGAAUAUUGCGCAAUGGGCGAAAGCCUGACGCAGCGACGCCGCGUGAGGGAUGACGGCCUUCGGGUUGUAAACCUCUUUCAGCAGGGACGAAUUCAGACGGUACCUGCAGAAGAAGCACCGGCCAACUACGUG
rnacentral:rRNA from 1 species